rnacentral:rRNA from 1 species
UACGUAGGCAGCAAGCGUUGUUCGGAAUUACUGGGCGUAAAGCGCGUGUAGGCGGAUGGGCAAGUCUGCUGUGAAAGCUCCUGGCUUAACCGGGAGUGGUCGGUGGAAACUGCCAAUCUGGAGGACGGUAGAGGUAGGUAGAAUUCCCGGUGUAGUGGUGAAAUGCGUAGAGAUCGGGAGGAAUACCGAUGGCGAAGGCAGCCUCCUGGGCCAACACUGACGCUCAUGCACGAAAGCGUGGGGAGCAAACAGG